rnacentral:rRNA from 1 species
UGGGGAAUAUUGCACAAUGGGCGAAAGCCUGAUGCAGCAACGCCGCGUGAGUGAUGAAGGCCUUCGGGUUGUAAAGCUCUGUCUUUUGGGACGAUAAUGACGGUACCAAAGGAGGAAGCCACGGCUAACUACGUGCCAGCAGCCGCGGUAAUACGUAGGUGGCAAGCGUUGUCCGGAUUUACUGGGCGUAAAGGAUGCGUAGGCGGAUUUUUAAGUGAGAUGUGAAAACCCUAAGCUUAACUUGGGGACUGCAUUUCAUACUGGAAAUCUAGAGUGCGGGAGAGGAGAAUGGAAUUCCUAGUGUAGCGGUGAAAUGCGUAGAGAUUAGGAAGAACACCAGUGGCGAAGGCGAUUCUCUGGACCGUAACUGACGCUGAGGCAUGAAAGCGUGGGUAGCAAACAGGAUUAGAUACCCUGGUAGUCCACGCCGUAAACGAUGAGUACUAGGUGUAGGGGGUUAUCGACCCCUUCUGUGCCGCAGUUAACACAAUAAGUACUCCGCCUGGGAAGUACGAUCGCAAGAUUAAAACUUAAAUGAAUUGACGGGGUCAUAGCUGUUUCCU